GACAGCUGCAUCUGUGGCAGAGUGAGGCCCAUGGCUGUUGAGGAAUAUGCAUUCUGGCUUGUGGACUCCCCUCCUCUACUCCACCUUCACGUGAACACCUGUGAUGCUGCUCGUUCCCCAUUAGCACAGCCGGCCUCAGAGACCUCUCGCGGGAGCUAAGCAGAUCAUCUAGGAGAGGAAAUGGGGACCCAGACUAGUCAAGGUCAUGGAGCUAAAAAGGGCAGAACCAAGCCAGCCCCCAAGUCAGCAUUUGGCCGCCUUCUCACCCAGCAAAGCCGUUUGCUCCCUGGGAAACAUACAGAGACCACAAGUUCAGCCAUCUAGGAUGCCUUGCUCUCCUGCCUGUCCCCCAAGCACAACCUGAAAGGAAUGAACCGUGUGGAGGUACGAAUGCCAUCAUCCUAACCCCCAACCCUCGACAGCAGUAGUCCAACUCCUCCUGAACUGUGCCUUUAAGAGACCGAAAGCUUGGCUGGGGAUGGAUACCUGUUGCUAUGGAGAUGGCAGCCCGAAUUCCUGUAGUGGAGGGCUGCUGCUGCCAGUCCCCAUUCCUGGGGUUGAGGGGCACCUCAUAAGCUCAUCCAGACCCUUGUCCCCUCAUAGCCCACCAUCAUCCUAGCCAGCACCCCUUCCCUAAGUGGCCCUCUAACCCCACUUCCAUCCCACCAAAAAUAGUCCAUGGCAGUAUUUCUGGGGCACUUAGGCUGGCAGGAGGGAAGGCAUUGAGAGGCCUAGCAAUGAGGACGGAAAAGAAUACUUGGCCUUGGGUGACAGGCCUCACCACUCGGGGUGGGACUGGUCUCCAAGCCCCCUCCAGCUCAGAUGGCUGUCUCCCACCCUCCUCCCCACAUGGCCCUCUUGGCUCUCCCUUUCCACCAGCCACGUGUCUAUAUUAGGAGACUUGGAGCACGCAGGCCGAGGCCUCCCUCACAGCCUUGGAGCCUUCUUCCUCAUGGCCUGGGUUCCUGCAGAACAGUAGGCACCAACUGAAAAGGCCUACAUGGGCUCAGCAUCACCAAAUGCCGGCCCAAGGGGUGUCCUAAGAAGAUUCAUCCGCUCACGUUUAUUAGGUGCUAUUGUGUGCCAGGCGCUGUGCUGAGCAAUUUGGAUGCCGAGCUGGUUGAAUCCUUGCAGUGCUUCUAUUAGGCAGGUACUGUUCCAUCAUCCUCAUUGUACAGGUGAGAACACUGAAGUUCAGAGAGCUUAAUAAGCAACCUGCUCUGGGUCACACAGGAAGUGUGGGAGCUCGGGUUUGAACCAGGUCGAUGGGCCUCCAAACCUUGAGGCAUCCCCACCUUCAUUGCACGGUGAGAUGGACAGAGUAAAGGCAGGAGGUAGAGAAUUAUCUGUAUCUUCUUGGACAUCAGAGUAGGAGAGGCCAGUAGAGACUCCUGGCUCGCCUCCUGCAGCCCAGAGAUGCUGGCCCAAAGUCACACAGCUGGGGUGGGUGACAGCGUUUCCCCUGGGUGAGGGAGUCAGGGAAGGAAGGCUGCCUCCUCAGGUUGGGAGGACCUGGUCAUGACGAAAGCGGCUGGGGUACUGUGACGGUUAGGACUGGUGAGGAUUAGGACUUGUUCACAGAAAGGGCCCAGUUUUUCGCUCUGGAGGGCCCUCAGCAGUUGUUCCCCAGAAUGCAAAGACACCUUCCUGGUGGUCCCCAGGGCCCA